rnacentral:rRNA from 1 species
GACAGAGGGUGCAAACGUUGUUCGGAAUUACUGGGCGUAAAGGGCGCGUAGGCGGCCACCGCAAGUCGAUUGUGAAAUCUCCGGGCUUAACCCGGAAAGGUCAACCGAUACUGCGGGGCUAGAGUGCAGAAGGGGCAACUGGAAUUCUCGGUGUAGCGGUGAAAUGCGUAGAUAUCGAGAGGAACACCUGCGGCGAAGGCGGGUUGCUGGGCCGACACUGACGCUGAGGCGCGAAAGCUAGGGGAGCGAACGGG